rnacentral:rRNA from 1 species
CACUCCUGCGGGAGGCAGCAGUGGGGAAUUUUGGACAAUGGGCGAAAGCCUGAUCCAGCAAUGCCGCGUGAGUGAAGAAGGCCUUCGGGUUGUAAAGCUCUUUUGUCAGGGAAGAAACGGUGAAAGCUAAUAUCUUUUGCUAAUGACGGUACCUGAAGAAUAAGCACCGGCUAACUACGUGCCAGCAGCCGCGGUAAUACGUAGGGUGCAAGCGUUAAUCGGAAUUACUGGGCGUAAAGCGUGCGCAGGCGGUUUUGUAAGUCUGAUGUGAAAUCCCCGGGCUCAACCUGGGAAUUGCAUUGGAGACUGCAAGGCUAGAAUCUGGCAGAGGGGGGUAGAAUUCCACGUGUAGCAGUGAAAUGCGUAGAUAUGUGGAGGAACACCGAUGGCGAAGGCAGCCCCCUGGGUCAAGAUUGACGCUCAUGCACGAAAGCGUGGGGAGCAAACAGGAUUAGAUACCCCAGUAGUCCCAU